CGAAUAGGAACCUUCCAGCCCUGCCACGUGAUUUCUCGGACUGUCUGCAGAAAGACUGACCGUUGACUGACCAUCAUUUGCAGAGUUAAAUUUUUUUCCAGGAGAAGAAAGCUAUGAAAAAAUGUCAGAGCUGUGUUCCUUAUUGUUUUGUUAAUAUUUGCACCACAGAAACCCAGAGUCUCAAUCACGAAGCAAGACUGCUUUCUGUUUAGUGUUGCCUAAUAUGCAGAACAAGAAGAUGGCCUCUACCACAGCAAGCUUACAAGUGUCUACUUGCCAAAAGCGCUGUGUCCCUGGCUAACUGCCAGCUUUCAGAGUGUGUUGCAGGCAAUGCAGAGCUGAGACUGAGCUUGAGGGCAGAUUCUCAAGAGGAUUCCCAUCGUUGCAGUACUAACCUGCAUAAUUCUGAACUCUUCAUACCCAGAGGGCCAGAGCCAUUCACAACCCUGAAGCUCAUUACCGUGCGUUUCUCAACACUGAACUGCUUAGUCUGCCCAUACGUCAACUCGAUUCAAGCCAUUCCAAAUUUUAUUACCCUCCUGCUUUGUAUUGACUAUUCCUCCCUGCAUUAGACUGCUUAUCAAAUCUUGCCUUCCAAGCCUGCUGCUUGCUUCUGGCUGCUAACUUCUGGCUGCUAACGUUGAAGUUGAUAAUGCAUGUAGAAAUCUGCUGGUCAGCUUCCUUCAACCCACUCUUUUUUCUUUCCUUUCAAAGCCAAUAUUUUGUCCGUGUUCCUCAUCAACAAUAAUGUACUUACUAAUAAUUUAAUAAUCUGUACGUAUUUUUCAUUAAUACUUUGUAAUUACUCUUUCUCUGUUAUACCAUACUAGCUUUAAGUGUAACCCCUCUUGUGGUUCCAUUCUGCUUGUCAUUUAUUAUGGUAAUGCUUUUGGUAAGUUUACAUGCAUGUUUUCAGCAUUCAGGUUUAGUGCUUGCUGUGGAGAUCAAGUUUAAAAGUCUGAAAUGGCAUAUCUUAAUUAUCUAAUCAUUGCACAAACAGAAAAGAAAAUGAAAGUGGAGGCUUUUCAAGAAAAUGGUCUUUUAUGACUUAGGAUAGGAACUCUGGUCAAAUAUGUUGCUAGUUGUUUAUGGGAGAAAUUUUGGCAAGACACAUGCCUCAUGUUACUGUCUUUUAGAAUUCUUUCUGUAUAGGUGAUAAUAUCUGCUAGGCCUUUUGCAUGCCAGAAUGAGG
rnacentral:lncRNA from 1 species